AACGAACGCUGGCGGCGUGCCUAACACAUGCAAGUCGAACGAGAAAACGGGCUUCGGUCCGUGAGUAGAGUGGCAUACGGGUGAGUAACACGUGGGCAAUCUGCCCGGAGGUGGGGGAUAACUCCCGGAAACGGGGGCUAAUACCGCAUGAUAUCUCGAGGACUCCGGUCCUUGCGAUCAAAGCUAGCCUCUUCUUGAAAGCUAGCGCCAUCGGAGGAGCUCGCGGCCCAUUAGCUAGUUGGUGAGGUAACGGCUCACCAAGGCGACGAUGGGUAGCCGGCCUGAGAGGGCGAUCGGCCACACUGGAACUGCGACACGGUCCAGACUCCUACGGGAGGCAGCAGUGAGGAAUCUUGCGCAAUGGGCGAAAGCCUGACGCAGCGACGCCGCGUGGAGGAUGAAGGUCUUCGGAUUGUAAACUCCUGUCGAGUGGGACGAAUGCCGUGAGGGUGAAUACCCCUUGCGGUUGACGGUACCGCUGGAGGAAGCCCCGGCUAACUCCGUGCCAGCAGCCGCGGUAAUACGGAGGGGGCUAGCGUUGUUCGGAAUCAUUGGGCGUAAAGGGCGCGUAGGCGGCCGAUCAAGUCGGAGGUGAAAUCCCUCGGCUCAACUGAGGAAUUGCCUUCGAUACUGUUCGGCUUGAGUCCUGGAGAGGGUAGCGGAAUUCCCGGUGUAGCGGUGAAAUGCGUAGAGACCGGGAAGAACACCAGUGGCGAAGGCGGCUACCUGGACAGGUACUGACGCUGAAGCGCGAAAGCUAGGGGAGCAAACAGGAUUAGAUACCCUGGUAGUCCUAGCUGUAAACGAUGGGCACUUGGUGUUGCGGG
rnacentral:rRNA from 1 species